rnacentral:rRNA from 1 species
UACGUAGGGGGCAAGCAUUAUCCGGAAUUACUGGGCGUAAAGCGCACGCAGGCGGUUCGCCAAGUUUGGAGUGACAGUUGUCGGCUCAACCGACAAAGGACUUCAAAAACUGGUGAACUUGAGGACGAGAGAGGAACAUGGAACUCCAGGUGUAGUAGUGAAAUGCGUAGAUAUCUGGAAGAACACCAAUGGCGAAGGCAAUGUUCUGGCUCGUUUCUGACGCUCAGGUGCGAAAGCCAGGGGAGCGAACGGG